GUUCAAACAAAACAGGUCUAACCAGGUUAUGCCUGUGUCUCAGGAACAGAGAGACAACCUGUUAAUGGAUGAGAAAUUGAUUUGGUGGUGACUGUUCUUUUUGGCUUAGUAGAAGCUGUUUCAGGAGCUAGAGAGGAAAAGACCAAGAUGCUGAAACUGCAAAUAAAACAGCACAGCCUGGGCAAGAAGAAGGUGAAACCCUGGGUCUUCCUGGACACUGGCCUGGCGUGAGCUAAGCAUCCCAGCAGAUUUCUUUAACACGCCAGGCCUCCGCCCUGUGGGAGAAGAAAGGGAAAUUGAGUUUUGGCAAAGAGACAAAGAUUUGGUGAUCAAAACCAAGAAGUUCCUUGUGUAAAAAAGAAAAGUCUGUAUAUGAGCAAAAGCUGAAUAGAAAAAAAAGU